CAGUCGCCGCGGUAAUACGUAGGUGGCAAGCGUUGUCCGGAAUUAUUGGGCGUAAAGGGCUCGCAGGCGGUUUCUUAAGUCUGAUGUGAAAGCCCCCGGCUCAACCGGGGAGGGUCAUUGGAAACUGGGAAACUUGAGUGCAGAAGAGGAGAGUGGAAUUCCACGUGUAGCGGUGAAAUGCGUAGAGAUGUGGAGGAACACCAGUGGCGAAGGCGACUCUCUGGUCUGUAACUGACGCUGAGGAGUGAAAGCGUGGGGGGCGAACAGGAUUAGAUACCCGUGUAGUCCCUGUCUCUUAUAA
rnacentral:rRNA from 1 species